AGAGUUUGAUCCUGGCUCAGAAUCAACGCUGGCGGCGUGCCUAACACAUGCAAGUCGAACGCGAAAGCCCCUUCGGGGGCAAGUAGAGUGGCGUCCGGGUGAGUAACACGUGGGUAAUCUGCCUUCGGGUGGGGAAUAACCCAGGGAAACUUGGGCUAAUACCGCAUAAUGCAGCGGCACCUAAUGGUGAUUAGUUGUUAAAGCGGGGGAUCGCAAGACCUCGCGCCUGAAGAGGAGCCUGCGGCAGAUUAGCUAGUUGGUGAGGUAAUGGCUCACCAAGGCAUCGAUCUGUAGCUGGUCUGAGAGGACGGCCAGCCACACUGGCACUGACACACGGGCCAGACUCCUACGGGAGGCAGCAGUGGGGAAUUUUGGGCAAUGGGCGCAAGCCUGACCCAGCAACGCCGCGUGAGGGAGGAAAUCCUUCGGGAUGUAAACCUCACAAGCAAGGGAAGAGAGCCAUGGGCUGAAUAAUCCUGUGGUGCGACGGUACCUGCGAAGCACCGA
rnacentral:rRNA from 1 species